UACGGAGGGUGCGAGCGUUGUCCGGAAUCAUUGGGCGUAAAGGGCGCGUAGGUGGCCCGGUAAGCGUGCGGUGAAAGCUUGGGGCUCAACCCCGAGUCGGCCGUGCGAACUGCUGGGCUUGAGCACUGUAGAGGCAGGCGGAAUUCCUGGUGUAGCGGUGAAAUGCGCAGAUAUCAGGAGGAACACCGAUGGCGAAGGCAGGUCUCUGGGCCGAUACUGACGCUGAGGAGCGAAAGCGUGGGGAGCGAACAGG
rnacentral:rRNA from 1 species